rnacentral:rRNA from 1 species
GACGAACGCUGGCGGCGUGCUUAACACAUGCAAGUCGAGCGGUAAGGCCCUUUCGGGGGUACACGAGCGGCGAACGGGUGAGUAACACGUGGGUGACCUGCCCUCAGCUCUGGGAUAAGCCUGGGAAACCGGGUCUAAUACUGGAUAUGACUCCAUGACGCAUGUUGUGGGGUGGAAAGCCUUGUGCGGCUGAGGAUGGGCCCGCGGCCUAUCAGCCUGUUGGUGGGGNGAUGGCCUACCAAGGCGACGACGGGUAGCCGGCCUGAGAGGGCGACCGGCCACACUGGGACUGAGACACGGCCCAGACUCCUACGGGAGGCAGCAGUGGGGAAUCUUGCGCAAUGGGCGAAAGCCUGACGCAGCGACGCCGCGUGA